rnacentral:rRNA from 1 species
UUUAAACUAAAGAGUUUGAUCCUGGCUCAGGACGAACGCUGGCGGCGUGCCUAACACAUGCAAGUCGAACGGUCCGGCACUCAGCCUACCCUCAGUCUAACUGUAGGGGAAGCUGAGUGCCGGAUAGUGGCGGACGGGUGAGUAACGCGUGGGCAACCUGCCCUGUACAGGGGGAUAACACCGGGAAACCGGUGCUAAAACCGCAUAAAGCCGGUAAUGCGCAUGCAUAAUCGGUGAAAACUGAGGUGGUACAGGAUGGGCCCGCGUCCCAUUAGCUAGUUGGUGAGAUAACAGCCCACCAAGGCGACGAUGGGUAGCCGACCUGAGAGGGUGACCGGCCACACUGGGACUGAGACACGGCCCAGACUCCUACGGGAGGCAGCAGUGGGGAAUAUUGCG